UUUUUGAGUUCUAAAUGACAGUGUUUUUAAAAGAAUAGAACUAGAGGACAAUUUUUUUUUGAGUGGGAGUUCUGGGACUACAGAGGUCUGGUUGUCCCUGGAAAAAUGUCCAGUUGUCCUAGAGGAUAUUCCAGUGGUUCUUAGACUAGGGAACAGUUUUGCCCCCCAGAAGACAUUCGGCAGUGUCUAGGGACAUUUUUGAUUUUCACAAAUGGGGAGGAGGAGGUGCUACUGGCGUCUAAUAGAGUCUUGAGAUGCUGCUCAACAUUCUGUAAUGCAUACGACCGUCCUCCGACGAUAGAAUUAUUCGGUUCAAAAUGUCAGUGGUGGUAAGACUGAGAAAGCCUGAGCUAUCCUAUGCUGAAAAAGAGAGAUCUGUGAUCCUGGAUGGUAGCUAUUGUUUGUGGUUCAAAUGGAGAUUUCUGCCCAAGUACCUCUUAAGGUCUUUUUGCACGAGCAUCCGGUACACAGUGGGAGGACUGCACAGGGUCGUGAUGGGAUAAGUAGUAAGUGUCUGGAUGAUGGAGAAAGACACAGAUGUCAGAAGUGGUCAUUCAAAGGCCAUGACUAGAGCUGAUAUCUACACCCUGUUAUUUUCUUCCAUUAAUAUGUGCCCAUCCCGUGGUCACUACUAGGAAUAAGAAAACAAUAUUUAUUACUUGUCACUAGUGACUGUAUAUCUGUUGGGAAUUUCCAAUUACUGAAAAGAAUGUAUAUAUAUUAAUAUUACAGUAACAGACAUACACAAUCUAAUUCAACAAGUGAAUUGCUUAAUUUGAGAACAACCCAAAGUAUGAACUGGUUUAUUCUUCCUCAGGGCUACAACUUACCUCUUAUAGUGUAAUCUUGUAACCUCCUGCCAAUAUAUUCAUGGAUAGUAUUGACUAUGGAUGUAUAAGCUAACCUACU
rnacentral:lncRNA from 10 species